UAGGGAAUCUUCGGCAAUGGGGGGAACCCUGACCGAGCAACGCCGCGUGAGUGAAGAAGGUUUUCGGAUCGUAAAGCUCUGUUGUUAAGGAAGAACGAGUGUGAGAAUGGAAAGUUCAUACUGUGACGGUACUUAACCAGAAAGGGACGGCUAACUACGUGCCAGCAGCCGCGGUAAUACGUAGGUCCCGAGCGUUGUCCGGAUUUAUUGGGCGUAAAGCGAGCGCAGGCGGUUAGAUAAGUCUGAAGUUAAAGGCAGUGGCUCAACCAUUGUAGGCUUUGGAAACUGUUUAACUUGAGUGCAGAAGGGGAGAGUGGAAUUCCAUGUGUAGCGGUGAAAUGCGUAGAUAUAUGGAGGAACACCGGUGGCGAAAGCGGCUCUCUGGUCUGAAACUGACGCUGAGGCUCGAAAGCGUGGGGAGCGAACAGG
rnacentral:rRNA from 1 species